UAUAUUUGAGAGUUUGAUCCUGGCUCAGGAUGAACGCUGGCGGCGUGCCUAACACAUGCAAGUCGAGCGAACCCUUCGGGGUGAGCGGCGGACGGGUGAGUAACGCGUGGGUAACCUGCCCUGUACACACGGAUAACAUACCGAAAGGUAUGCUAAUACGGGAUAACAUAUGAGAGUCGCAUGGCUUUUGUAUCAAAGCUCCGGCGGUACAGGAU
rnacentral:rRNA from 1 species